AACCUCCGCAAUGUGAGAAAUCGCGACGGGGGGAUCCCAAGUGCCAUUCUGAAAAGGAUGGCUUUUCAUUAGUGUAAAGAGCUUUUGGAAUAAGGGCUGGGCAAGACCGGUGCCAGCCGCCGCGGUAACACCGGCAGCUCUAGUGGUAGCAGUUUUUAUUGGGCCUAAAGCGUCCGUAGCCGGUUUAAUAAGUCUCUGGUGAAAUCCUGUAGCUUAACUGUGGGAAUUGCUGGAGAUACUAUUAGACUUGAGACCGGGAGAGGUUAGAGGUACUCCCAGGGUAGAGGUGAAAUUCUGUAAUCCUGGGAGGACCGCCUGUUGCGAAGGCGUCUAACUGGAACGGUUCUGACGGUGAGGGACGAAAGUUAGGGGCGCGAACCGGAUUAGAUACCCGGGUAGUCCUAACUGUAAACGAUGCGGACUUGGUGUUGGGGUGGCUUUGAGCUGCUCCAGUGCCGAAGGGAAGCUGUAAGUCCGCCGCCUGGGAAGUACGGUCGCAAGACUGAAACUUAAAGGAAUU
rnacentral:rRNA from 1 species